rnacentral:lncRNA from 1 species
CUCACAGUGCCUGCCAUGAAGAUGAAGCUGUUACUACAACACAGCCCUAUUUCCCUGGAAAGCACCGACUUCAGCUUGUGAGAGAGUUAGAGUCAACCCAAUGAAGCAAUCCAUUUGGGUGCAUACAGAAAGAUUAGAUAAAUGUUUGGAAAUGCUCAUUCGAUACUUCCAAAGAGGUGGGGCUCCAAGCACGUGACUGACUCCUAGCUAUAUUAUUUAGAACUUCGAGAGUGAGAAGAGACUGCCCUUCAGGAUCAUUCUCCAGGACCCAAGACAAAGGCUCAAUUCAUAAUCUUCAAAACUAGUCUGCCAGAUCAAAAGCAAAAGAAAACAAUGACCAAGCAUUCCUUCACUGUCACCCUGCUCCUCAUGUGUGCUCAUAUUAUGGGAACAAUUUCAACAACAACAGCAGCAGCAACAGCAGCAGCAACAACAUAACAACCACCACCUCAGAUUCUACAAGAAACUCAAGUCCUGGAAUGCUCUCGCCUUCCCCCAGGAGCCCACAGGUCAUACCAAGAUCAAGUCCUACAAGUACAGCACAGCUUGGAAGCAGCCUCAGUCUUGGGACAAAGCCCUCGGAGCUCACCUCCAAGAGCACCUGGCAAGGAAACAUGUCAUCAAGUCCCGGCAUAAACACGACUGCAGAGACUGCGGCAGGGGCAGCAUGGCACUCAGGGCAGUCUUCAACACUCACUCUCUUUUCCUGUGCAGUGCUUUUACUCUUUUGAACAUACUCAGGCGGAAAUGAGCCUAAAGGCCUGCUCACUUUAGCCCCUCAUAUUAUUUACUAAAUGACAAGCACACUAAGAAAAUAAAAUUUAUAUUAAUUUACUGUGGAAGAAAUUAUUAUUCUAGUAAGAUUUGGGUUUGGGCAAGUUCCCCCACCCCCACCCCCCUCAGCUGAGGACCAAAUCCAAGGCCUUGCACUUGCUAGGCAAGCACUCAACCACUGAGCUAAAUCUCCAACCC